CCCUUAGAUGUUCUGGGCCGCACGCGCGCUACACUGAUGCAUUCAACGAGUUUCUUCCUGGUCCGAGAGGAAUGGGUAACCUUUUGAAAGUGCAUCGUGAUAGGGCUAGACUAUUGCAAUUAUUGGUCUUCAACGAGGAAUUCCUAGUAGACGUAGUUCAUCAGACUGCAUCGAUUACGUCCCUGCCCUUUGUACACACCGCCCGUCGCUCCUACCGAUUGAAUGCUCAGGUGAGCCAUUCGGACUUUCAUCAUGCUGGUUUCCAGUUUUGAUGAAGGAAAGUCUUGCGAACCUUAUCAUUUAGAGGAAGGAGAAGUCGUAACA
rnacentral:rRNA from 1 species